rnacentral:rRNA from 1 species
AUUGAACGCUGGCGGCAGGCCUAACACAUGCAAGUCGAGCGGAGCGGCGGACGGGUGAGUAAUGCCUAGGAAUCUGCCUGGUAGUGGGGGAUAACGUCCGGAAACGGGCGCUAAUACCGCAUACUAUCAGAUUAGCCUAGGUCGGAGUAGCUAGUUGGUGGGGUAAAGGCCUACCCAGGCGACGAUCCGUAACUGGUCUGAGUGGAUGAUCAGUCAAACUGGAACUGAGACACGGUCCAGAUUCCUACGGGAGGCAGCAGUGGGGAAUAUUGGACAAUGGGCGAAAGCCUGAUCCAGCCAUGCCGCGUGUGUGAAGAAGGCCUUCGGGUUGUAAAGCACUUUCAGCGGGGAGGCGUUACCCGCAGAAGAAGCACCGGCGAACUCCGUGCCAGCAGCCGCGGUAAUAC